CCUGCGGAGGGAUCAUUACUGAGUUACCGCUCUAUAACCCUUUGUGAACGUACCUAACCGUUGCUUCGGCGGGCAGGGGAAGCCUCUCGCGGGCCUCCCCUCCCGGCGCCGGCCCCCACCACGGGGACGGGGCGCCCGCCGGAGGAAACCAAACUCUAUUAUACACGACGUCUCUUCUGAGUGGCACAAGCAAAUAAUUAAAACUUUUAACAACGGAUCUCUUGGUUCUGGCAUCGAUGAAGAACGCAGCGAAAUGCGAUAAGUAAUGUGAAUUGCAGAAUUCAGUGAAUCAUCGAAUCUUUGAACGCACAUUGCGCUCGCCAGCAUUCUGGCGAGCAUGCCUGUUCGAGCGUCAUUUCAACCCUCAAGCACCGCUUGGUUUUGGGGCCCCACGGCCGACGUGGGCCCUUAAAGGUAGUGGCGGACCCUCCCGGAGCCUCCUUUGCGUAGUAACUAACGUCUCGCACUGGGAUCCGGAGGGACUCUUGCCGUUAAACCCCCAAAUUCUUUACAGGUUGACCUCGGAUCAGGUAGGAAUACCAGCUGAACUUAAGCAUAUC
rnacentral:rRNA from 1 species